rnacentral:rRNA from 1 species
CAGUAGCCACGGUAAUACGGAGGGGGCUAGCGUUGUUCGGAAUUACUGGGCGUAUAGCGCACGUAGGCGGCUUGGUAAGUCAGAGGUGAAAGCCCAGGGCUCAACCCUGGAAUUGCCUUUAAGACUGCCGAGCUAGUAGGUGAGAGAGGUGAGUGGAAUUCCGAGUGUAGAGGUGAAAUUCGUAGAUAUUCGGAAGAACACCAGUGGCGAAGGCGGCUCACUGGCUCAUUCUAGACGCUGAGGUGCGAAAGCGUGGGGAGCAAACAGGAUUAGAUACCCCGGUAGUCCCUGUCUCUUAUAC